rnacentral:rRNA from 1 species
UACGUAGGUGACCAGCGUUGUCCGGAUUUACUGGGCGUAAAGAGCGCGCAGGCGGUCGUUCAAGUCGAGUGUGAAAGCCCCCGGCUCAACUGGGGAGGGUCACUCGAUACUGAUCGACUUGAAGGCAGGAGAGGGAAGCGGAAUUCCCGGUGUAGUGGUGAAAUGCGUAGAUAUCGGGAGGAACACCAGUGGCGAAGGCGGCUUCCUGGCCUGUCCUUGACGCUGAGGCGCGAAAGCUAGGGGAGCAAACGGG